AGCAGCCGCGGUAAUUCCAGCUCCAAUAGCGUAUAUUAAAGUUGUUGCAGUUAAAAAGCUCGUAGUUGAAUUUCGGGGUUAGUAGGCUGGUCGUGCCACAGGUAUGCACUGGUCUUACUGACUUCUCCUUUCUGAAGAACUGUAAUGCCAUUAAUUUGGUGUUGCAGGGAAACAGGACUGUUACUUUGAAAAAAUUAGAGUGUUUAAAGCAGGCUAACGCUUGAAUACAUUAGCAUGGAAUAAUGAAAUAGGACGUUCGAUCCUAUUUUGUUGGUUUCUAGGAUUGACGUA
rnacentral:rRNA from 1 species